rnacentral:rRNA from 1 species
GAUUUCUGGUUAAGUAGCGCUAGCCCGCCCUUGCCAGGGGUGUGCGCUGGUAGUUGCUUGCCAUCUUUCUAGAGAGCCAGCGUCUGUCAUUCACUUGAUGGGCGUGACGCGAUCUAGAUCUUUUACUUUGAAAAAAUUAGAGUGUUUAAAGCAGGCUUACGCUAUGAAUACAUUAGCAUGGAAUAAUAAUAUAGGACUUUGGUUCUAUUUUGUUGGUUUCUAGGACUGAAGUAAUGAUUGAUAGGGAUAGUUGGGGGUGCUAGUAUUCAGUGGCCAGAGGUGAAAUUCUUGGAUUCACUGAAGACUAACUACUGCGAAAGCAUU